rnacentral:rRNA from 1 species
ACUCCUACGGGAGGCAGCAGUAAGGAAUAUUGCUCAAUGGCCGAAAGGCUGAAGCAGCAACGCCGCGUGAAGGAUGAAUGGCCUUUGGCCUGUAAACUUCUGUAAAAGAGGAAAAAUAGUUAGGUAUAUCCUAAUGUGAUUGUACUCUUGAAGUAAGCCCCGGCUAACUACGUGCCAGCAGCCGCGGUAU